GAUGAACGCUGGCGGCGUGCCUAAUACAUGCAAGUCGAGCGAACAGAUGAGGAACUUGCUCCUCUGACGUUAGCGGCGGACGGGUGAGUAACACGUGGAUAACCUACCUAUAAGACUGGGAUAACUUCGGGAAACCGGAGCUAAUACCGGAUAAUAUAUUGAACCGCAUGGUUCAAUAGUGAAAGACGGUUUUGCUGUCACUUAUCGAUGGAUCCGCGCCGCAUUAGCUAGUUGGUAAGGUAACGGCUUACCAAGGCAACGAUGCGUAGCCGACCUGAGAGGGUGAUCGGCCACACUGGAACUGAGACACGGUCCAGACUCCUACGGGAGGCAGCAGUAGGGAAUCUUCCGCAAUGGGCGAAAGCCUGACGGAGCAACGCCGCGUGAGUGAUGAAGGUCUUCGGAUCGUAAAACUCUGUUAUUAGGGAAGAACAAAUGUGUAAGUAACUAUGCACGUCUUGACGGUACCUAAUCAGAAAGCCACGGCUAACUACGUG
rnacentral:rRNA from 1 species